CAAGGGGGCGCGCGGCCGGCGGCAGCAUGGAGGAGCCGCAGCGGUUCCGGUGCCCCCCCGGGCUUCGCGGCCGCGGCGCCCUCGGCGCCCGCCGGGCUCUGGCGCGACGCCCUGGGCCCCCCCGGCAAGGAGCUGUGGCUCAUCCGCGCCCCCGCCGACUUCCGCCCCGAGAGCCUGGAGGGCUGCGCGGUGCCGCUGGGGGGCUGCGAGCGGCUGCGGGGGGCCGAGCGGCGCCUCGGGGGGCUGCGGGCGGCCCCGG